rnacentral:lncRNA from 1 species
GUUAGUUAGUAGUGAUCUGGUUGAAUGGAUGGUUAGUUAGUAGUGUUCUGAUUGAAUGGAUGGGUAGUUAGUAGUAUUCUGUUUGAAUGGAUGGUUAGUUAGUAGUGUUCUGGUUGAAUGGAUAGUAAGUUAGUAGUGUUCUGGUUGAAUGGAUGCUUAGUUAGUAGAGUUCUGAUUGAAUGGAUGGGUAGUUAGUAGUAUUCUGGUUGAAUGGAUGGUUAGUUAGUAAUGUUCUGGUUGAAUGGAUAGUUAGUUAGUAGUGUUCUGGUUGAAUGGAUGGUUAGUUAGUAGUUAGUGUUCUGGUUGAAUGGAUAGUUAGUUAGUAGUGUUCUGGUUGAAUGGAUGGUUAGUUAGUAGUGUUCUGAUUGAAUGGAUGGGUAGUUAGUAGUAUUCUGGUUGAAUGGAUGGUUAGUUGGUAAUGUUGUGGUUGAAUGGAUGGUUAGUUAGUGGUGUUCUGGUUGAAUGGAUGGUUACUAGUUGGUGUUCUGGUUGUGUUCUUGUUGAAUGGAUGGUUAGUUAGUAGUGUUCUGGUUGAAUGGAUGGUUACUAGUGUUCUGGUUGAAUGGAUAGUUAGUUAGUGGAGUUCUGGUUGAAUUGAUGGUUAGUUAGUGGUGUUCUGGUUGUCUUCUGGUUGAAUGGAUGGUUAGUUAGUGGAGUUCUGGUUGAAUUGAUGGUUAGUUAGUGGUGUUCUGGUUGUGUUCUGGUUGAUUGGAUGGUUAGUUAGUGGUGUUCUGGUUGAAUGGAUGGUUAGUUAGUGGUGCUCUGGUUGAAUGGAUGGUUAGUUAUUGGUGUUUUGGAUGAUUAGUUAGUGGUGUUCUGGUUGAAUGGAUGGUUAGUUAGUGGUGUUUUGGAUGAUUAGUUAGUGGUGUUCUGGUUGAAUGGAUGGUUAGUUAGUGGUGUUUUGGAUGAUUAGUUAGU